ensembl:lncRNA
CAUGGUAUAAGAUGCAGCUCCCAUCGAGCUUGAAACAUUUCCACAACAGCAUCUGUGAACAUGGCAAAGCUCAAUCCAAUGGCCAAGAUGAUCUUCAUCUUCUUUAACGUUAUUAUUGCGGUCUCUGGGAUUGUUGUUUUCGCCUGGGGUCUGUACCUGCAACACAAGCAUGAGAAUCUCCAGUAUACAGUAGAAGUGUGCUUUGCAACUGGUUCUGCAAUGUGCCUUGCCGCUGUCUUUGGAGUUUAUGGUGCUUACAAAGAGAACAUAUCUGCACUGUCUGUGUUUGUCUUCCUGAAGACUAUGGCAAUUGGUGGCCUGAUUCGUACCGCCAUUAUAAUAGCAAACUCUUACUUGAGCACUAAGCAUCCCGAAGUAUUCUCCAGCACUGGUUUACAUAUUUCAGAAGAUGUGUACAAAAUCCUGAUGAAAGUGCUUUACUGCAUCAUAUCUCUCACUGUUGCCAGGCACUACUGGAACUUCAAAUGGAAUCGGGUUCUAUGGUCAGAUGAAACCAAAAUAAAGCUUUUUGGCAAUAAACACCAGAGGUGGUUUUGGCGCACACAGAGAGGCAGCCAUAUGGAAAAGUACCUCAUGCCCAUAUAAAUAUGGUGGUGGCUCUUUAAUGUUUUGGGGCUGUUUUUCUGCCAGAGGACCUGGACAUUUAGGAUACAUGACAAUAUUAGGACAAUGAUCCAAAACAU